rnacentral:rRNA from 1 species
AACGAACGCUGGCGGCAGGCCUAACACAUGCAAGUCGAGCGCGCCCUUCGGGGUGAGCGGCGGACGGGUGAGUAACGCGUGGGAACGUGCCCUUCUCUGCGGAAUAGCCUCGGGAAACUGAGAGUAAUACCGCAUACGCUCUCGGGGGGAAAGAUUUAUCGGAGAAGGAUCGGCCUGCGUUGGAUUAGGUAGUUGGUGGGGUAAUGGCCCACCAAGCCGACGAUGCAUAGCUGGGUUGAGAGGAUGAGCAGCCACACUGGGACUGAGACACGGCCCAGACUCCUACGGGAGGCAGCAGUGGGGAAUCUUAGACAAUGGGGGCAACCCUGAUCUAGCCAUGCCGCGUGAGUGAUGAAGGCCUUAGGGUUGUAAAGCUCUUUAAGCUGGGAAGAUAAUGACGGUACCAGCAGAAGAAGCCCCGGCUAACUCCGUG